rnacentral:rRNA from 1 species
UGGGGAAUAUUGCGCAAUGGGCGAAAGCCUGACGCAGCAACGCCGCGUGCGGGAUGAAGGCCUUCGGGUUGUAAACCGCUUUCAGCAGGGAAGAAGCCGCAAGGUGACGGUACCUGCAGAAGAAGCACCGGCUAACUACGUGCCAGCAGCCGCGGUAAUACGUAGGGUGCAAGCGUUGUCCGGAUUUAUUGGGCGUAAAGAGCUCGUAGGCGGUCUGUUACGUCGGUUGUGAAAACUCGGGGCUUAACCCCGAGCCUGCAUCCGAUACGGGCAGACUUGAGUGUGGUAGGGGAGACUGGAAUUCCUGGUGUAGCGGUGAAAUGCGCAGAUAUCAGGAGGAACACCGAUGGCGAAGGCAGGUCUCUGGGCCACAACUGACGCUGAGGAGCGAAAGCGUGGG